GGAAGCCAGCUCGUGGGAUCCGCUACACAUCCACCCGAGGGCUGCGGUUACUUGAGCACCAUGGAGUAAGCAAAGCUCAUGACAUGAUUAGCUGUACUGGGGACGCACAGCUGUUCUUUUCACAAGUCACUUCAGAGCAAGCUGCAGACAAUGAUGAUCUUUGGUGAAAUGUCAGUUCAAGUCAUUUGACCUGUCUUCCCCAUGCUCACCACGUCUGGAGAAGCACAGAUCUGGAGGAAUUGAAGCCUGAAGUUUCACCAGCAGCAUUCUGGGACUAGGAAGUGACUAUAUGGAGGAGCCUGGUAGGCUACAGUCCAUGGGGUCGCAAAGAGUUGGACACGACUGAGUGACUUCACCUAGGAAUGGAAGGCAUGAAGUGGAUCCAAACAGACAGAGCUGCCACUUAACAGACGGUCACCAUCCUACACUGAACUGUGCGACCUCCUUUUCCAUGACAGAGAAAGGGCAAGAACCAUUCACAUAAUGAUUGUUUCCACCAACAUCUGGUGAGCAUCUAUGAUGUAUAGGACACUACACUUAACACCAGAGCUACAAAGAGAAGAAGCACAGUCCAGGCGUCUGAAGAUCAAGAAGAAAAGAAGAAGAGUAA